GUGGGGAAUAUUGGACAAUGGGCGCAAGCCUGAUCCAGCCAUGCCGCGUGCAGGAAGACGCAUCUAUGGUGUGUAAACUGCUUUUGUACGGGAAGAAACACUCCCUCGUGAGGGAGCUUGACGGUACCGUAAGAAUAAGGAUCGGCUAACUCCGUGCCAGCAGCCGCGGUAAUACGGAGGAUCCAAGCGUUAUCCGGAAUCAUUGGGUUUAAAGGGUACGUAGGCGGUUUAAUAAGUCAGUGGUGAAAGCCCAUCGCUCAACGAUGGAACGGCCAUUGAUACUGUUAGACUUGAAUUACAAGGAAGUAACUAGAAUAUGUAGUGUAGCGGUGAAAUGCUUAGAUAUUACAUGGAAUACCAAUUGCGAAGGCAGGUUACUACUUGUGGAUUGACGCUGAUGGACGAAAGCGUGGGGAGCGAACAGGAUUAGAAACCCGUGUAGUCC
rnacentral:rRNA from 1 species